rnacentral:lncRNA from 1 species
GGUUGGGGGGACGCCGAGGGGUCGGGAAUAGGUGGGGAAUUAAACUGAAGGCGCGGCGGGGUGGGGUAGGGGGCUCCUAAUCAAUGAGAGCUCGGGAUACUCCCGCAGGGGCGGAGCGAAGUCGAGACCGGAAGCUUUCCUAAGGCUCAGCCGGGUGGGCGGGGGUGGAGGAAUCCAAUGAGAGCUCCAGGAGUUCAGAGAGAGCGGGGAAUAACUGAGACAAUGCACUCUCCAAAAGUACUCCAAGACGAGCCGGGCCGAAGCCCAACGAAGCAGGAGGAACCAAUGAGAGCGCCCUAGGGAUUCCCCCCCCUCCUCCAGGGGCGGGGCACAGCCGAGAACUUUCCUAAGACGUUGCCGUGACUGGAGGAGCGGCGGAGAGAACCAAUGAGAAUGGCAGGGGCUCAGAGUGGGGCGUGACCGAGACUGUCAGCCUCCAUGAGGACUUAGUGAGGGAGGGGCCGGAGCGUCACAAAGUAGCGGAGGGGGGGGGGCGGGGCCGAGACAAUGAACUUUCCUAAGAGUUUCAGAGUUGGGAGGGGUAAACGAAGUAAGUGAAAGGGCGGGGCCUUGAGGAAGACCGGUUGCCAGUUAGCCUUGGGCAUGCCUCCGGGGGACGUGGCCAGACCUCUGCGAAGGAAAGUAGUCUCCCCUCGCCUAAGAUUUCUUUCUGUAUUUCAACCAAAACAACAUCAUGCAAUGGAAUGAAUGCCAAUACAGACAGGAGGGUCCAGCUGGCCUCCAUUAAGCCAGUGCCAAAGACCUGUGCCAUCAUAGAUUCAGAAGUCAUCGGCCCCCUCUGAGGCCCAGAAAAGGGGGCCACUGGAAGAAACAGAAGUCAAAUUCAGACUCAGAUCCUGCCAACACAAACCCAGGCCUUUCUGCUGGACCAUGCUGCCUCCCUAUGGUAGUAGGUGUUUAAUAAGUGGUCAAAUCUCCCCAAA